AGUUACAUAUUACUGUGUUCCCCUAAAAUGUUAUAUCACUGUUGCAAAUUUCUGUAUUUCAGAAUUAAUCUCUGUUAACCUGCAUGCCUGGGCACAAAGGAAUAUGUCAUGUCAUACAGGCUCACUGUUCAACCACACUUAUUGCCUUGUAAUUCUGAAUAUUUCUGUGAUUUGAGAAGACUCUGAUCAGUAAGAAGGAAUUUGGAAAUGUGUUGACACAUUUGUGUGAUGGCACUCACAAUGUUGAGAUGACACUAUGAUACAAACAUAAGUUCAAGCCAGACGGAAGCCCUGGAGGAUGCUAAUGCAGCACUGCAAUAUGCUAAGUUUCAGGAGAGCUGCUUAGUGAGUCCAUUGAAAAUCUCACUCCUGAUGAAGAGAGGAUUUGUGUUUACAGAACAGAAACAGGAUGGCAAUAUUCUGCUCUCGUGUAACAUGUUCUACUCAAGCAGAGUAACCUGUGAACACUGCUACCGUGGUAACCAUGAAACUUAGGAUUUUCAUCUAAAGAAUGCAGACCUCUAGCUGUAAACGGAACAUCUUACCUGCAGCUCCUGGAAGAAUCUGUGGAGGAUCUCAGGAGAUCCCAGUUAUCUGAGUCUUGGUGCACAGUGAGUUCCCAAGGCACAGGGAUGGCUUUUCAUCACUAAUACAGUCUGUAAGAUCAUUUUACUAAAUCUGAAAAGUUAUCAUUUCAACUAUGACGUAUUAUUUGAAUGUAUCUUAGUUUAAAUUUACAGAGCAGAAGUAAAAUGCAAU
rnacentral:lncRNA from 1 species